rnacentral:rRNA from 1 species
GUGGGGAAUCUUCCGCAAUGGACGAAAGUCUGACGGAGCAACGCCGCGUGAGUGAAGAAGGUUUUCGGAUCGUAAAGCUCUUUCGUUAGGGACGAACGUGCUCUUUGUGAAUAAUGAGGAGUAAUGAUGGUACCUAAAUAAGAAGCCACGGCUAACUACUUGCCAGCAGCCGCGGUAAUACGUAGGUGGCAAGCGUUGUCCGGAAUUAUUGGGCGUAAAGCGCGCGCAGGCGGGAUAUCAAGUCUGUCUUAAAAGUGCGAGGCUCAACCUCGUGAGGAGACAGAAACUGGUAUUCUUGAAUGUCGGAGAGGAAAGUGGAAUUCCAAGUGUAGCGGUGAAAUGCGUAGAGAUUUGGAAGAACACCAGUGGCGAAGGCGACUUUCUGGACGAUGUCUGACGCUGAGGCGCGAAAGCUAGGGGAGCGAACGGGAUUAGAUACCCGUGUAGUCC